AUUGGCUCCAGGUGAUGCUGGAUUCCCUGCCGUGCUGAGCGUUGGCCGGCCAGCGCCGCUCCGGGAGGCCCGGGUCGGCCUUCAGCGUGCACGCGCUUGCCUCAUGGGCUCUAGGCUGUGGGGUUUGGAAUCUGAGCACGGGGUGCAUUAGCUUUUGGCAAAGGGAUUGCAGCUUGGUUCAUACUUUCCGCUUGGAAUGUCGCCUCCCUUCCUUCCAAGCUGAGAGACAGGAAGCCAGCACAUGAGGGUGGGGCCCGGGAGGGCCGGAUCUCACGAGUCACUGGGCUGGGGCCUCCACGGAGGCUCCUUCGUGCUGCCGCCAAAGAUGGAGAGCCGCUGGGGCCUCUUCUGUAUCACGGUGCUGGGCUUUCUGAUGCACAUUCAAGGUCAGCGUGACUUCGACUUGGCCGACGCUCUCGAUGACCCCGAACCCACCAAGAAGCCAAGCUCAGGU